rnacentral:lncRNA from 1 species
GGGUUUUCUAUUCUUGCUUUAUUUCAGAUAGAGAACUAAGAGGUGGACCUAGUACAAUGAAUUCUCUUUUUCUUUUUGAAAAAUAAUGCCACCUUACAAUUCGAAUCUGAACGCUCUCUACAGUACAUGCGCAAAGGGAAGACAUGCCAAUUGAGGGUCACAAUUGUAUUAGGCUGGAUUAUGUGGUGAUUGGAUCUGUCAACUGUCAAGAACUUAAUGACGAUUUCCUUUGUCAUCAUCUGUUUGUUUUCAGUUUUCUACAUUGAUUCAACUUUGCUUG